rnacentral:rRNA from 1 species
UACGUAGGGUGCUAGCGUUGUUCGGAAUCAUUGGGCGUAAAGCGCGUGUAGGCGGUUAGUUAAGUCGGGUGUGAAAUCCCUAGGCUCAACCAAGGAAGUGCAUCCGAAACUGACUAGCUAGAAGACGGUAGAGGAAGGUGGAAUUCCAAGUGUAGAGGUGAAAUUCGUAGAUAUUUGGAGGAAUACCGGUGGCGAAGGCGGCCUUCUGGGCCGAUCUUGACGCUGAGACGCGAAAGCGUGGGGAGCAAACAGG